AUUGAACGCUGGCGGCAGGCCUAACACAUGCAAGUCGAGCGAGAGGCGGAAGGGUGAGUACUGUCGGGGAAACUGCUCGAUGGAGAGGGCGAACUACGGGAUAAGGUAGUUAAAAUCGCACACCAUCAGAUGUGGCCAGAUGGGAUUAUCUAGUAGGUGGGGGAACGGCUCACCCAGGCGACAAUCUCUAGCUGGUCUGAGAGGAUGACCAGCCACACUGGAACUGAGACACGGUCCAGACUCCUACGGGAGGCAGCAGUGGGGAAUAUUGCACAAUGGGCGAAAGCCUGAUGCAGCCAUGCCGCGUGUGUGAAGAAGGCCUUCGGGUUGUAAAGCACUUUCAGCGGGGAGGCGUUACCCGCAGAAGAAGCACCGGCUAACUCCGUGCCAGCAGCCGCGGUAAUUC
rnacentral:rRNA from 1 species